rnacentral:rRNA from 1 species
UACGAAGGGGGCUAGCGUUGCUCGGAAUUACUGGGCGUAAAGCGCACGUAGGCGGAUCUUUAAGUCAGGGGUGAAAUCCUGGAGCUCAACUCCAGAACUGCCUUUGAUACUGAGGACCUUGAGUUCGGGAGAGGUGAGUGGAACUGCGAGUGUAGAGGUGAAAUUCGUAGAUAUUCGCAAGAACACCAGUGGCGAAGGCGGCUCACUGGCCCGAUACUGACGCUGAGGUGCGAAAGCGU